CCUACGGGAGGCAGCAGUGAGGAAUAUUGGACAAUGGGCGCAAGCCUGAUCCAGCCAUGCCGCGUGCAGGAUGACGGUCCUAUGGAUUGUAAACUGCUUUUGCACAGGAAGAAACAACAUUACGUGUAAUGUCUUGACGGUACUGUGAGAAUAAGGAUCGGUUAACUCCGUGCCAGCAGCCGCGGUAAUACGGAGGAUCCAAGCGUUAUCCGGAAUCAUUGGGUUUAAAGGGUCCGUAGGCGGUUUAGUAAGUCAGUGGUGAAAGCCCAUCGCUCAACGGUGGAACGGCCAUUGAUACUGCUAGACUUGAAUUAUUAGGAAGUAACUAGAAUAUGUAGUGUAGCGGUGAAAUGCUUAGAGAUUACAUGGAAUACCAAUUGCGAAGGCAGGUUACUACUAAUUGAUUGACGCUGAUGGACGAAAGCGUGGGUAGCGAACAGGAUUAGAUACCCUGGUAGUCCACGCCGUAAACGAUGGAUACUAGCUGUUGGGAGCGAUCUCAGUGGCUAAGCGAAAGUGAUAAGUAUCCCACCUGGGGAGUACGUUGCAAGAAUGAAACUUAAAGGAAUUGACGG
rnacentral:rRNA from 1 species